ACUAAGUGCAUGUGGUGGAUGCCUUGGCGAUUACAGGCGAUGAAGGACGUGAUAGCCUGCGAUAAGCUUCGGGGAGCUGGCAAAUUAGCUUUGAUCCGGAGAUUUCCGAAUGGGGAAACCCACCCCUAGGGGUAUCGUGCGGUGAAUACAUAGCUGCACGAGGCGAACCGGGUGAACUGAAACAUCUCAGUAGCUCGAGGAAAAGACAUCAACCGAGAUUCCGAAAGUAGUGGCGAGCGAAAUCGGACUAGCCUGUGCGUUUUAGCACUCGAAUUAUCAGAACAGUUUGGAAAGGCUGACCAUAGCGGGUGAUAGUCCCGUAUGAAAAAAUUCGAGUGUGGAACUAAGCGUACGACAAGUAGGGCGGGACACGAGAAAUCCUGUCUGAAUAUGGGGGGACCAUCCUCCAAGGCUAAAUACUCGUAAUCGACCGAUAGCGAACUAGUACCGUGAGGGAAAGGCGAAAAGAACCCCGGGAGGGGAGUGAAAUAGAUCCUGAAACCGCGUGCUUACAAAAAGUAGGAGCCUCGUAAGGGGUGACUGCGUACCUUUUGUAUAAUGGGUCAGCGACUUACAUUCAGUGGCAAGGUUAACCGAAUAGGGAAGCCGUAGAGAAAUCGAGUCCGAAUAGGGCGAUCAGUCGCUGGGUGUAGACCCGAAACCAAGUGAUCUAUCCAUGGCCAGGAUGAAGGUGCCGUAACAGGUACUGGAGGUCCGAACCGACUAGUGUUGCAAAACUAGCGGAUGAGCUGUGGAUAGGGGUGAAAGGCUAAACAAACUUGGAAAUAGCUGGUUCUCUCCGAAAACUAUUUAGGUAGUGCCUCAAGUAUUACCAUCGGGGGUAGAGCACUGUUUUGGCUAGGGGGUCAUGGCGACUUACCAAACCAAGGCAAACUCCGAAUACCGAUGAGUACAGCUUGGGAGACAGAGCACCGGGUGCUAACGUCCGGACUCAAGAGGGAAACAACCCAGACCGCCAGCUAAGGUCCCUAAAAUUGGCUAAGUGGGAAACGAAGUGGGAAGGCUAAAACAGUCAGGAUGUUGGCUUAGAAGCAGCCAUCAUUUAAAGAAAGCGUAAUAGCUCACUGAUCGAGUCGUCCUGCGCGGAAGAUGUAACGGGGCUAAGCCAGUUACCGAAGCUGCGGAUUUGCAAUUUAUUGCAAGUGGUAGGAGAGCGUUCUGUAAGCCUGUGAAGGUGCGUUGUAAAGCGUGCUGGAGGUAUCAGAAGUGCGAAUGCUGACAUGAGUAGCGUUAAAGGGGGUGAAAAGCCCCCUCGCCGUAAGCGCAAGGUUUUCUACGCAACGUUCAUCGGCGUAGAGUGAGUCGGCCCCUAAGGCGAGGCAGAGAUGCGUAGCUGAUGGGAAACAGGUCAAUAUUCCUGUACCGAUAUAUAGUGCGAUGUGGGGACGGAUCUUAAUAGGUCAUCCAGUUAUUGGAUUAUUCUGGUUUAGUUGGAUGUAGGCGUGCACUAGGCAAAUCCGGUGCACAUAUACCGAGGCCAACGAUCGAGCGGACUUGUCCGUGAAGUGACUGAACGAGGUUCCAGGAAAAGCCACUAAGCUUCAGCUACACACGACCGUACCGCAAACCGACACUGGUGCGCGAGAUGAGUAUUCUAAGGCGCUUGAGAGAACUCAGGAGAAGGAACUCGGCAAAUUGACACCGUAACUUCGGAAGAAGGUGUGCCCUAUUAGUGUGUAGUGAACAACGAAGCACGAAUGGGUUGCAAAAAAUCGGUGGCUGCGACUGUUUAUUAAAAACACAGCACUCUGCAAACACGAAAGUGGACGUAUAGGGUGUGACGCCUGCCCGGUGCUGGAAGAUUAAAUGAUGGGGUGCAAGCUCUUGAUUGAAGUCCCAGUAAACGGCGGCCGUAACUAUAACGGUCCUAAGGUAGCGAAAUUCCUUGUCGGGUA
rnacentral:rRNA from 1 species